AGACGUAGGGGGCGAGCGUUGCUCGGAAUCACUGGGCUUAAAGGGCGCGUAGGCGGUUAUGCAAGUCCAGGGUAGAAGGCGGAGGCUCAACCUCCGUAAUGCCUUGGAGACUGCAUAACUUGAGUAAGCGAGGGGAGGGCGGAAUUCCCGGUGUAGCGGUGAAAUGCGUAGAUAUCGGGAGGAAGGCCUGUGGCGAAGGCGGCCCUCUGGCGCUUAACUGACGCUGCGGCGCGAAAGCGUGGGGAGCAAACAGGAUUAGAAACCCCAGUAGUCC
rnacentral:rRNA from 1 species